AUUGUGUUGCAACUUCUGCAGACAGUGCCGCUAUUUCAGUUCUACAAAGAUGGGGUUCUUUUGGAAGCAUUUGCAACCAGAGACAAAGAGAGGAUCAUAGAAGAAACCUAAUUCAAACGGUGCAUAGGAUUUUGGAUUUUGGACGCUAGCACCACCAUUAUAUUCUUGCUCAUACUAUUUCUACUCUUCGGUAAAGUAUAACAUUUAUUUAUCAUAAAUCAUGUAUAGUUGCAGCCUGAAACUUUUAUUUGCACAAUAAAGCUACAGGCCUGGUUUUUUUAAGCGCUACAAUAUCUCAAUCUGAAUUAGCAUUCCUUCUUAUUGAUUGCAGAGAAAAGAUAUGAAUUCAAAUUUUUUUUUUUCAGUGUUUUUCGUUAAGAGGUUUUGCAUUUUGAUGAAUAAACAUAAGAGAGUUCAUAUUGA